GAACUGCUAAGGAAUUUGGAAUGUGUGCUGCAAGAGCGCUGUCACCCUGUAGCCAAGAUCUCAGUCAGCUUGGACAGAAUAUCAUCAAUGAACUUCUCAGACUGGACUGUGGAGGCUCACGACCUUUGACAAGAUAUCUCACAAAUGGAACACAGAAGAUUCCAUUGAAAUUUACUUUGUUUUCAAGCAUCUUCUUACUGAUGCACUUCAUGGUAUGGUGAGGUAGAAAGAUUGUUAGUUUUCUAUGUUGUGUCUGUUGUACUAUUAUUUGUCCUUUGUUUUUUUCUUUUUUAGCCAUGGCGUUGUCAGUUAAUUUUCUAUGUAUGAGUUUGGCUGCUGUCCAUCUGGUAUCUUUCGCCCCCCGUUUUUAAAGCCUAUUCACUCAAAUAUAAAAGUAUAUAUGAUCUUGAAUUAUAUUUCUCGGUUGCUUUACUGAUUACUAGUAUAUCUUAAUUUCAUAUCGAAAGUUUUUAGAAAUUUAGUAGGAAUUUACCGUUAUCAAUGAUUCUUUCAAAUGAGGUUAAGUUCAUAUAAACAUGUCAACCAAAUAUAGAUUCCCUUCAAGAAUUUUUAGUAUAGGAAAUACUUGAAGAUGGCACAAGAAAAUGAGUGGAGGCCAGAUGAACAAUGUGAUCGGUACAAAUGAAGUUCUGAUUGUACAUUUCAUGCCGUCUGUAUUUUCCUAUUUAUGAAACAUCCCCUCCCGGAUAUGUGUCAAUCUGGGAUAAUAUACGAGUGGUGGUAUGCAGAUGUGAAAAUGGAUCAAAAAUCAACAUUCAUGUGCUUUUGGAUCAGUAUCUGUUCUAUUUCUAUGAUUAGUAUUUAUAAGUGUGCACAUAUGAAUGAGUUCACUUAAAUGACUAUUUUACUGUACAAUGUUCACUAUAUUUAUGAUUCAUAACAUCCGUUCUUGAAAUUUUUCGUUGGUUAUUUAGAAUUAAGAAACUAAGGUUCCAGCUCCAACUGGCUAAGUUGACCGUAGGUCGAUUUUGCGAUUCUUUUCAAUCCCAUUUGAUAAUAUAGGAGAUCUCAGUAUUCAUAUACACUCGUCUAUUUGUGGGUGUGAGCUGAUUGAAGUAAUUCACGUAAAGAGCUUCGGACUAGUUUUGUUUUCAUUUCAUUACCAUCGUAUUCAAUAUACAGCUGUUCAGCUGUUAUAGCUUCGAUUCUUAAAACUUCCCUUGGAUGGCAUCGGAUUGUUAAAAGACAAUCACGGGGUCAUCCAAGACCUUAUCGCUUUUUGAGAAUCUGCGACAGUUGAGCUUUGUGACGUCCGAUAAUUUCUUCCGCUUGUCCUCUUCGAUAAAAUUACUUCACAGAGUUAGCAAUCGUAAUUCGGAUGUCAUAUUUAGUGAAUUAUAUAGAAAACAGAAAUUGUAAAAAACAAAAGUAAAUUUGUGUUUGAGGCCAAAUGCAUUGCAUACAAUCCCCCGGUGUAAGUUGCCUUGAUUUAUGAAUGUCUGUUUUACAAAGCUAAUAAAAAUAGAAAAAAUAAAAAAAAAAAGAUUCUCGGCUUUUAUUUCAAUACACGGUUAGUUGUAGUAUUGAAUCCCUUUGUAAAAAAAAACACGGUGUUGACGAAGAAUCUGAAAGGUUUCAAUAGACGAAGAAAUUGAUGAUGAACGAUUGAAAUAAGUGCAGAAAACGCAUUGAAAGCUAACAAGUUGUUAUAGUUGUCAUUUGUUUUUGUAAAGGCCGAUGGAAGUAGGUUCUUGAUGAAGACUUGCAUGAUCACUUAAGCUGAAUACCACAUGCUAAAAUAGUACGUAGGCUAAAUUCGUUAGUGUUCUAGUGGCCUAAUACGAUACAUACGGUGUCGGUAAAUUCCAUAUGGGUUGAGAGCGAAUAUGGGAUAAGUGAAUUACAGAUGGGGUUAGAGCGAAUUUACUGACCCCUUAUAUCGGUUUAUCGUAUAAGGUCACUAGAACUCUAAUACCAAAACUUAUAAUAUGCAGUAGUUAAACAAACAAAAAAACUGAGCUGAAGACCAAUAUCUGCUUCGAAAACUGGUUUUCAAUUGAUUGAUGUAUUUGAGCUUUUGAUUUUUUCAUUUGAUAAAGGACUUUCAAAUUUGAGUUUUCCUUUAUAUUCGUUUUUUUAUACUUU
rnacentral:lncRNA from 1 species